rnacentral:rRNA from 1 species
CCUGGCUCAGAUUGAACGCUGGCGGCAGGCCUAACACUUGCAAGUCGAGCGGUAGAGAGAAGCUUGCUUUUCUUGAGAGCGGCGGACGGGUGAGUAAUGCCUAGGAAUCUGCCUGGUAGUGGGGGAUAACGUUCGGAAACGGACGCUAAUACCGCAUACGUCCUACGGGAGAAAGCAGGGGACCUUCGGGCCUUGCGCUAUCAGAUGAGCCUAGGUCGGAUUAGCUAGUUGGUGAGGUAAUGGCUCACCAAGGCGACGAUCCGUAACUGGUCUGAGAGGAUGAUCAGUCACACUGGAACUGAGACACGGUCCAGACUCCUACGGGAGGCAGCAGUGGGGAAUAUUGGACAAUGGGCGAAAGCCUGAUCCAGCCAUGCCGCGUGUGUGAAGAAGGUCUUCGGAUUGUAAAGCACUUUAAGUUGGGAGGAAGGGCAGUAAAUUAAUACUUUGCUGUUUUGACGUUACCGACAGAAUAAGCACCGGCUAACUCUGUGCCAGCAGCCGCGGUAAUACAGAGGGUGCAAGCGUUAAUCGGAAUUACUGGGCGUAAAGCGCGCGUAGGUGGUUUGUUAAGUUGGAUGUGAAAUCCCCGGGCUCAACCUGGGAACUGCAUUCAAAACUGACUGACUAGAGUAUGGUAGAGGGUGGUGGAAUUUCCUGUGUAGCGGUGAAAUGCGUAGAUAUAGGAAGGAACACCAGUGGCGAAGGCGACCACCUGGACUAAUACUGACACUGAGGUGCGAAAGCGUGGGGAGCAAACGGGAUUAGAUACCCUGGUAGUCCACGCCGUAAACGAUGUCAACUAGCCGUUGGAAGCCUUGAGCUUUUAGUGGCGCAGCUAACGCAUUAAGUUGACCGCCUGGGGAGUACGGCCGCAAGGUUAAAACUCAAAUGAAUUGACGGGGGCCCGCACAAGCGGUGGAGCAUGUGGUUUAAUUCGAAGCAACGCGAAGAACCUUACCAGGCCUUGACAUCCAAUGAACUUUCUAGAGAUAGAUUGGUGCCUUCGGGAACAUUGAGACAGGUGCUGCAUGGCUGUCGUCAGCUCGUGUCGUGAGAUGUUGGGUUAAGUCCCGUAACGAGCGCAACCCUUGUCCUUAGUUACCAGCACGUCAUGGUGGGCACUCUAAGGAGACUGCCGGUGACAAACCGGAGGAAGGUGGGGAUGACGUCAAGUCAUCAUGGCCCUUACGGCCUGGGCUACACACGUGCUACAAUGGUCGGUACAGAGGGUUGCCAAGCCGCGAGGUGGAGCUAAUCCCACAAAACCGAUCGUAGUCCGGAUCGCAGUCUGCAACUCGACUGCGUGAAGUCGGAAUCGCUAGUAAUCGCGAAUCAGAAUGUCGCGGUGAAUACGUUACCGGGCCUUGUACACACCGCCCGUC